GCAGGAUGCAGCCACCUCCCGUGUGGAGCAUGUGUUCUCUGCAGUUGCCAGAGCAAGGGAAGAAAGCAAGAACUCAUGUUGAAACGCCAUCUCCAAUGCACCAGAGGUGGGAAGAGGGGCCAGUUGGGAGAUUGGGUUGAAAGAUAGAAACUGAAGACUGUGUGCAUGUUUUCCUUCUGAUGCCAUUCAUGGUGCUGAUGACAGGGUAGCAAGAAAGUAGAGUCUACCCACAAGGAACUUGCGCUCCAGUGUGGAAAUAUGGAUUCGCCUCAGUGGAUGAGUGAACACAGUUCAGGUGAUCCUCUUACCCCAGCUUCUUUAGAUAAGGAUUAUCGGCAUGAAUCACCAUACCUGGUAGAGAUUGAGACUUUAAAUGAUUUCAAACUGAUUUGUCAGAAGACAGAUUGUGAAAUUCUGGCAGAAAAUUGGCUGCACAGCAAGCUGUAAUGGCAUCUAUCAUGAAUAUGGAAUGUUGACUCCAGCUUCUCAAUGGCUUUGUGGACCAUUAGGAGUUGAGACUGUGGUCCUAGGAAGACUUCACACGUAUUUCUAGUUCCUGGGACAACUGAAAGAGAGGAGG
rnacentral:lncRNA from 1 species